rnacentral:rRNA from 1 species
UAGGGAAUAUUGGUAAUCUGGGAAACCGGGAACCAGCAACGCCGCGUGCGCGAUGAAGGCCUUCGGGUUGUAAAGCGCUUUUUGAGAGGAUGAGGAAGGACAGUACUCUUAGAAUAAGCCUCGGCUAACUACGUGCCAGCAGCCGCGGUAAAAAGUAGGAGGCGAGCGUUAUCCGGAUUUACUGGGCGUAAGGCGUGUGUAGGCGGUUUGAUAAGUUGGAUGUUAAAGCUCCUGGCUUAACUGGGAGAGGUCGUUCAAAACUAUCAGACU